GCCUUAUUUGCUUCCUACAAGAACAGUGAGGCUCCAGGGGCUUCAGAAUUUAUCAUAGUGAGUUGGGGCACCUGGAAUUUAAAAAUCUGGCUGACUGCUUGAAGCAACUGAUGCUUGCACAGAAAGGCAGCUCUUCAUCCGUCUGCAAAGUUUCAUUAUUUCCUCAAUAAAAGAAACUGAAUAAGACAGAUGAGGACAGAGAUGAAACUGUUCCGCUCUCUCUCCAGCCACUGACCCUAUACUUAAAAUUCAGCAGAACUUCUGAGAGCCUUGUUGCA